CCUACGGGAGGCAGCAGUGGGGAAUAUUGCGCAAUGGGGGGAACCCUGACGCAGCAACGCCGCGUGAGUGAAGAAGGCCUUCGGGUUGUAAAGCUCUUUAAUCAGGGACGAAGAAUGACGGUACCUGAAGAAUAAGCUCCGGCUAACUACGUGCCAGCAGCCGCGGUAAUACGUAGGGAGCAAGCGUUAUCCGGAUUUAUUGGGUUUAAAGGGUGCGCAGGCGGAGGUGCAAGUCAGCGGUCAAAUUGCGGGGCUCAACCCCGUACUGCCGUUGAAACUGCAUCCCUUGAGUGCGCGAGAAGUAUGCGGAAUGCGUGGUGUAGCGGUGAAAUGCAUAGAUAUCACGCAGAACUCCGAUUGCGAAGGCAGCAUACCGGCGCGCAACUGACGCUCAUGCACGAAAGCGUGGGUAUCGAACAGGAUUAGAUACCCUUGUAGUC
rnacentral:rRNA from 1 species